rnacentral:rRNA from 1 species
CAAUAGCGUAUAUUAAAGUUGUUGCAGUUAAAAAGCUCGUAGUUGGAUUUGUGGUGUACUUCGGCGGCCCGUCACUAUGUGAUGGAGCUUGCUGAAGUCGCCAUCCUUGGGUGGAUCCUGUGUGGCAUUAAGUUGUCGUGCAGGGGAUGCCCAUCGUUUACUGUGAAAAAAUUAGAGUGUUCAAAGCAGGCUUAUGCCGUUGAAUAUAUUAGCAUGGAAUAAUAAGAUAGGACCUUGGUACUAUUUUGUUGGUUUGCGCACCAAGGUAAUGAUUAAUAGGGACAGUUGGGGGUAUUCGUAUUUCAUUGUCAGAGGUGAAAUUCUUGGAUUUUUGAAAGACGAACUACUGCGAAANCANNNACCAAGGAUGUUUUCAUNAA